UGGGACAUCAAUUGCUUAACAAAACAUCACAAAUCUCCUCAUUAUUCAUUAGGUUGUAUUGUCAGAUAAUCAAUGAAAAUACAAGGGAAAUUUUCAGUGACUGAUGAUUCUUUAUGGUCAUAAUUGACGAAGUAUUAAAUUAAAAUCAAACUAAAACUAAUGAAGGAGAAGUGUAUUUUUUUUCAUUGCAUUUAUUGGCUCAUAUGUUUCUUUAAUUUCUAGGUUCCAGAGCUGGGCACUUAACUGGGAAAGCAUGAAUAUACUAUACUCAAUUUCAUGCCUAAAUGUCUCUAACAAUAAAAUUUCUUUCCUAGGAAAAAUUUCAUGCAAAUUUAUAACAAUAUCUAUACAUUUCAAACAAAGGGGUUUAUAGUUUAAAAUUUCCAUACAAAUUUAUAACAAUAUCUAUAACACAAUAAAGGGGCUUCAUACAAAUUUUCAAUACACCUCAUCAAUUGCUUCACAAAACAUCACAAAUCUCCUCAUUAUUCAUUAGAUUGUAUUGUCAGAUAAUCAAUGAAAAUACAAGGGAAAUUUUCAGUGACUGAUGAUUCUUUAUGGUCAUAAUUGACGAAGUAUUAAAUUAAAAUCAAACUAAAACUAAUGAAGGAGAAGUGUAUUUUUUUCAUUGCAUUUAUUGGCUCAUAUGUUUCUUUAAUUUCUAGGUUCUAGAGCUGGGCACUUAACUGGGAAAGUAUGCAUAUAUUAUACUCAAUUCAUGCCUAAAUGUCUCUAACAAUAAAAUUUCUUUCCUAGGAAAAAUUUCAUGCAAAUUUAUAACAAUAUCUAU
rnacentral:lncRNA from 1 species